rnacentral:piRNA from 1 species
CUUGUUGAUGAAUACCAACGGCUCUGAUGG